UCCACCCACCGCGGGAGCGAACCAUGCUUCGCUGAGAGGGCACAAGCCACAGGCCGCUAACAACAGCCGCCAGGAGUGCCGACCGCUUGAACCUGUCCGGGUAAUGCCGGCGUAGGAAGGAGAAGGUGUGUCCUC
rnacentral:ncRNA from 2 species